UGGCGAACGGGUGAGUAACGCGUGAGGAACCUGCCUCAAAGAGGGGGACAACAGUUGGAAACGACUGCUAAUACCGCACAAGCCCACGACCCGGCAUCGGGUAGAGGGAAAAGGAGCAAUCCGCUUUGAGAUGGCCUCGCGUCCGAUUAGCUAGUUGGUGAGGUAACGGCCCACCAAGGCGACGAUCGGUAGCCGGACUGAGAGGUUGAACGGCCACAUUGGGACUGAGACACGGCCCAG
rnacentral:rRNA from 1 species